UGGCCUCACAGCUCCCUAGUUCAACAAUUGCUAAGGAGCUUUUAUUAACAUCUCAAAUACCUCCUUUUCCUUCUCCCUUUCUCAGAGGGGGUAAGAAAUGCUUCAGAUUCCUGAGUUUAGAAGAGCUUGGGGGCAUUCUUCUUAGCAGAGGAUAAGCUGAAAGGAGAACAGCAUCCCUCCCCAGAGCCUCUGUCACCCUGCACCUGUCAGGCUUAUGACUUGCCAGGUUUGGGUGAGGUACUGAUAAGGGAAACAUACUUUAAAGAGACUGACAAAUCCAUCUAAAUGCUGUUUAAUUCAUCUUGAUAAGGAAGGGUUGUGGAGAGCUUUAUGCCACCUUUACUUCUCUUUUCCCUCUGUAGGUCUCAGGCUGGGCCAUGUUUUCACAAAACCAAGAUUUCAGUAGCAGAAUGACUGUACUAUUUGAAAAACAGGACUAAGUUCAGAGAAUACAUAAAAGUGAUAGCAUUUAACUACUUCACAUUUUUUAUUAAUUGUUUUAAUUGCUUUUCAGCAUCAGCCACCUUUAACAGACACCCAAACAAAAGGCAUCUAAAUGGAUGUUCACUUCCCUCUUCCUCUCCCAGUAGGAAUUUAGUCUCCCAUGUUUUCCCUCCUCCUAGCAAAAAACCAUGAGAGCCCCCCUACAUUCAGCUUGCUGCCUUUCCUGAGGUUACUGUGUGAGCUUUUUCUCCACUAAUGGUGCCUCUCAGCUUACCCCAUGUUCGCUGUUUGUUUUUGGGCUCAGCCUGCAAUAGUAAUCAAGGCCAAAUAUUUGCUCAAAUGAAGUGCCUCUGUGGUUCUCAUUCCAGGAAGCUGGCUGAGGACAAAGUGAAACUAGCUUGAAAUACUCUAGUAUGCCCAAGAGAUGCUAGGAGCAAGGGAUUUUUCCAGUGCUGUAGAAAGUCAUCCAGAUUCUCAUUGUAGCUUUGUUGUGGGAACUGCAGGGGAACUAACUCAUUUAUAGCCUGCCCCAGUGAAAGACACCACUUUUGUCUGCCAGAAACCAAAGUCAGUCCAGUCAAAGCCAAACUUUAGGACUGUUCUGUUGGGCCACAACCAGAAAGAAGACCCAGUGUGAAGUCACACAAGCAUUCAUUCUCCCUGUUCUGCAAGGCUGAAGCCCACAUUUUUCUGAUAAGAGGAGGCUAUAUCCUUUGUGCUUGCAAGUCAGUGGCAGGUCUUAUAAACACACCCACAGAUUCUCAGCCUAACAUAUUGCAAGCUCUGUGCAUCUGGAGCCAGUGCAUGCUUUGCUCAACAACCCCCCUUUCAUUUCUGCCAAGAUUCCCUCCCACAUUUGGGACUUUUUUCCUGCUCCCUUGAGAGCCUCCUCAAUUCUCCCAGCUCCUCCAGCCUCCCACUGUCAGAGUGGACUGUUCUGGACAGCUUUCCUGGUCUGCUCUGCCUUUGGGAACAUAUGGACCACUGCAGGAAGCUGAGCACAAAGAUCUGUGCAUUACCCUUAUUUUCAGCCCUGUGUUUGAGUCAGGGGGAUGGACCAGAAGACUGAACUGAGAGUGCUGACAUAGAAAGCAGAGAAUCUCCAAAACCUACUGGGGCAUUAGCUUUGUAGGAUGUGAGAAAUUACCAACAGAGAUACAUGACGUGCCAUCACUGUGGGAAGCCAUCUUUUAGAUGAGAUGCAGACAAGCUCCAUCUAACACAGUCACCUUCUUUCCCAUUUAUCAGACCAUCGUUUCCUGGGAAUAUUCUGGAACAAGGAAAGCAAUUCACUGGGCAUCCUGUGUGUUUUCAUAACACACCACCAAUUCCCGUCAAAAAUCAAUAGCUCACUGAGGAGUAGCAGACUACUGAGCUGCCCAGGCUAGCACCUGCUCUGCAAUAUUUCUCAGCUACCAAAAGACAGGAAAGCAUUAGAGGAAUCAAACCCACAGCACAGAGGUGCUCAGGGACUUAAGGACUCCUGAAAUUCCUCCAUGUGAGGUAGCAACUUGUUUUAGUCCAGGGUGUAAGGAGUUCCUGCACGCGGUGCUGCCUUCUUGGACUGGUUCAAGGACAAAAAAAAGAAGUUAAAAGAUUUUCCAUGGAAUAGAAUAUUUGGACUUUGAGUUACAAACACAAGCAUGACACAGAUCAUAAAACAUGAAAUAAGGUAGCUCUGCUCUCUUCUACACAGUGGGGCAAAGCAUUUAACCUGUUGUAAAUCCUGUCCACUCCCUCCUUGUCUUUUCUGUUUAUACAUGGAAUUAAAGCAUCCUUAAGCCUCUUACUACUCUACCACUCUCCUGAUUACAGCCGCAUCUAACACUGAACUUGAAGCACACACCUAUACGAAGUCAUGAGAAAAAACUUUGCAUUACAUGGAAAAAAAAGAGUCAUAUGCAGAAAAGGAAGAAGGAAAGUGCCACCCUUCAAACUGAAGAAAGUUUUGGCCCAUGAGCUGCUGAAGAAAGACACAGAUGUGUGGACUGCAGCCCUUCUCCUGCAGCACUUUGUAAAGCAAGUGAACAGUCCCAGGCAGGAGGAGGCUUUCUGCAUUUUGAACAGGCCAAGGUGAGGAGUCGUGCAGGGCAGAGCACCCUGAGAAAUUGGACCUUGUGACCUGGACUUGCACAUCCAUGAGCAGAGACAUGGGAAAUGCUGCCUUUCUGGAGCGAGAGUGGGGAGGGGAGUGCUGGAAGCUGCAGACAGGAAGAGCCUGACUUGGGAAAAGCGAAGCAGGUAACAAUCAUACAACUAUUUAUGGCUCUUUUUCCUUGCGACAACCGCAGCCUUAUAAGGGCAAGAGCGCUUUACUCGGGGCAGAGCUGCGGAGGUGGAGCCUCCAGGGGCACUCCUGAUGCUUGCUCCCAGGCUAUCUGCCUGCACAAGCCGCUGACCUCCUUCCCGGGAAAAACCCUGGGAACCCUCGCUGAAUCCAGCUGUUCAAAUUUCAAAUUACAAAACGCCUCGGCUCCCCUCCCCUUCUCCCCAUACCUCCUACUAGCUGGAGCUGUGGUGAAGCAGAAAUGUCUGCAUUUGUAAUGUUGUGGGUAUCUGGGAGCAGUGGGUUGGAGAGCCCCCCGCAGCUGACAUGGGAAACCUAUUCCCAUCUGGUUGUGAUAGUACUGAGAACUGGAAGAAAAAAGAAAGGAAAAACAAACAACCCUCCCCUCGACCCCUCCCAGUGUUGCUUGUCGGCCACUAGCGAGUGUGUGAAAGGCUGCAGCUGGCAAAUCUGGUGCACAAACUCUGUUGCAGAUCCUUCUGCCUAUGGUUGUGGUUCGGAGCCCCCCCUAACUCUGGCUGAGCUUCCAGUGUGUGUGUAUUGGGUUCUUACACAUUUCAACCCUGUGCAGUCCACCCAGCUGAACUAUGCUGGAAAUGGGUUGCAAAUAAAACUAAACAUAAACAUGCUAAAAAUGUCGCUGUCAUCAGAUAAGGUUGCUAUGUACAUAAAAUUCCUGACACGAGUUCAUUAGACCAAGGACAUGAAAAGUUAAGCCACAUGCAUAUGUUGGCUGGGAUGGGGAGGAGGGUAUGGUGAGCAGGGAUUCAGCCUGAAGCUAUAUUUUUUUUGGCCUUCUAACAACCCAUAGCCAUCACCCUAUGUGUGUGACUCAAUUUCUUGCAAUAGGAAGGGAAAAAGGAAAAAAAAUAACAAAUGUUACAGCACCCACUUCCUUCUGUGAACACAGGUGUGAUUUGGGAGGGAGCAGGAGGCAGGGUCAGCCAUGUCACUUGCGAGGUGUGGAAGGUUGGCUUUCCAGAGGACAAAGCACAUGCUGACGAAGUCUUUACUCAGCAGUCUUUACCAAAAGCAGUCAUUGUUAGCACUGCAGGAGGCACUUAUCUCUGCAUUAUAAGAGAGGAAACAGGCACCAAGAGCUUCCUUUAUGAUAAACUUCUUGUAGUUGUGGCUAUGUUCAACUUGCAGAAACAUGGGAUUGCCUGGGCUAGGUGCUCCCACAUGGACUUACCAGUCCUUGGACACUCAGGUUUGCAGAAGUGCCUGAAUGCAAUGACCUUCCCUACCACAUACUGAGUUGUUAUAAUUCUCAAGCCACAUAUUUUAAGAGAGGGGUAGGAGCUGUGAGAGGGAUUUCAGGUGAUCCCCCCCUCUCCCGAGCUUACCACAACAGCUACCCUUUGGCUGCUUCCAGGCUGGCUGUGGCUCAAGAAGGAGAAGCUGUGCACCCUUCACCCCAGGAUGAGCAAUGUGGGUUAGAUUAACCUGCAAAGGUGGAACAUCAUGUCCUCCUCAGCCUCACAAAGGUCAGGGUUGGGGCUUCACGGCUAUGUGAAAUCAGCACAAGUCAGAGCAGCCUCUGAAGGAGGGCUGUUCUCCUUCCUCCUCUGAUAUUCAUACUACCACUGCUAGUCUCGUAUUACAGCCAGCUGAUCCAGCUGGAAACAACCUUGAAACUAAAGAAAGGCAGAUGUUUCCAGUUUGAUAAUUUCUUUGAUCCAUUUGACUACCUGGUUGCUACACAGGUGCUGAAAAUAUACAGUCGUGGGAAGCCAGACACAAGCUGCUCAGAAACUAUGAGGGAAUUGAAGCUCAGGAGAGGCCAGAAAGCCUUCUUUCCAGAAAUAUCACGAAUGAGUUGAAUUCAGAUGUGUGGCUGGUCACAGGGGUUCUUUUAGCAUCCCACGGGCAAGUGCUUGCAAUCAGUAUCUGAAUUAAGGGAUAAAUUAAGAGAUGUCUAUUACCAAAAAAGUAGAAUUACCAAAAUCACAGCAUCAUUUAGCAUAGGCAGUAAUUUUGAGGUCUCCAUAUCAACAUCCUGCUUGGAGCAGGGCCAGCAUUAAUGUUGGAUCAAGGUGCUCAGGGCUAAAUCUCUGAGGAUGACAAAUCCACCAUCUCUGUUCUUGCCUCUUGUCCUUUCACUGAGCACCUCUGGCAAUCUGGCUUUAUCUUUCAAAUAACCCCCAUUUGGGUAGUAGAAGCCAGCAGUUACAUAGUCCCCCUCACAAGCCUGCGUUCCCCUUUCCAAAUCAACCCAGCUCCCUCAGCCCCUGCUCAUGUGUCAGG